CAGAGAUCGGGAAUCCUCUCAGUCCUUAGUUACAAGGCUCCAUCCUCACUUUGUUCGCUCCUCAGUCGUCCAGGCGGAUUCCUUUUUCGCCAGGCACCAAGGCACAGCUUAGAGUAGACCCGAGUCCUGCUCUGCGGAGUUCGUCUUCCCAGCGAAGGUACAGAGGCGGAUGAACUGCUGAGACUUGGGUCUGGCUCUGUCACCCAGGCUGGAGUGCAGUGGCACGAUCUUGGCUCACAACUACCUCCGCCUCCCCAGGCUUAAGCAAUCCUCCCACCUCAGCCUCCCAAGUAGCUGAAACUACAGGUGUGCGCCAUCACCCCCAGUGAGAUGUCAGCUGUCUGCAAGCCAAGAAGACGGCCCCACCAGAACCUCACCAUGUUGGCACCCUGAUUUCAGACUUCCAGCCUCCAGAAUGGUG
rnacentral:lncRNA from 1 species